CCUACGGGAGGCAGCAGUGAGGAAUAUUGGUCAAUGGGCGUAAGCCUGAACCAGCCAAGUCGCGUGAGGGAUGAAGGUUCUAUGGAUCGUAAACCUCUUUUAUAAGGGAAUAAAGUCUGGGACGUGUCCUAUUUUGUAUGUACCUUAUGAAUAAGGAUCGGCUAACUCCGUGCCAGCAGCCGCGGUAAUACGGAGGAUCCGAGCUUUAUCCGGAUUUAUUGGGUUUAAAGGGUGCGUAGGCGGUCUGUGAAGUCAGCGGUGAAAGGCUGGGGCUCAACCAGGGAAUUGCCGUUGAAACUGGGGGGCUUGAGAGUGGUUGAGGUAGGCGGAAUGCGUGGUGUAGCGGUGAAAUGCUUAGAGAUCACGCAGAACCCCGAUUGCGAAGGCAGCCUGCCAAGCCAUUACUGACGCUGAGGCACGAAAGCGUGGGGAGCAAACAGGAUGAGAUACCCUAGUAGUC
rnacentral:rRNA from 1 species